rnacentral:ncRNA from 2 species
AACUAAAGACUGGGGAGCCAAACUGGAGGCUGAGAGGAUAAGUAAUUAUCGACCCAUUGACCUGAUCCUGGUAAUGCAGGCGUAGGUAGUAAUAUAAAAAUAUUA